rnacentral:rRNA from 1 species
GACAGAGGGUGCAAACGUUGUUCGGAAUUACUGGGCGUAAAGCGAGUGUAGGCGGUUCUGUAAGUCGGGUGUGAAAGCCCUGGGCUCAACCCAGGAAGUGCACUCGAAACUGCAAGGCUAGAGUAUCGGAGAGGUUGGUGGAAUUCUCGGUGUAGAGGUGAAAUUCGUAGAUAUCGAGAGGAACACCGGUGGCGAAGGCGGCCAACUGGACGAAUACUGACGCUGAGACUCGAAAGCGUGGGGAGCAAAC